CAACCGCUCUCGCUGCUGCAUCUUGAAGCAGGAUGCAACGAUUAACAUUGCUGCGAUUAAAGAUUCAAUAGACGAGUGCAGAUGUGUGUUGCGCGAGGAUGAACACACACGCAUGUGGAACGGUCGAACUUCCCACUGGAUUUUCCCGGGAAACAUGCGGCUGCCUCGUUUGAUCCGUCGCUCACGUCAACUCAUUCCUUCUCUGCCUCAUCCUGAACCACCGGGAGCUUAAAGAAAAGGGGAAAACUUCUCACUACAGAAGCUGGAAACUACAAAGCCAGAAGCCGGGCGGCAUCGACAGCCUCCUCCGUCUCUCUUCACCUCUUUUUUUACUCAAGUGUCUUUACGUCUCUGCAGGGUUCUAUGAUUUAUGUCAGUUUUGUUAACUGCACGUCCUCCUCAGACACUGCUCUUCUGGAAAAAUCCGAUCCUGUCUGGAAUGCAGGAAUAAACCCACCAAAAUGUGUUCAUUUGCUUUCUUGGCUUUAACAUUUAUUAUGUAUGAGCUCCAUUAAAAUAAAGGACCGUCAGCGAUUUUAUUUGCUGGUGUGAAAACAGCAGAGAUGAAGCAGCUAACAGCUCGACAGCAACAACGACAUUUGGAUCCGAUUUCUUCUUGGUUUGAGAGUGCAGAGAAGUAAAGGUGGUUUUGGAGAGUGGAUCAUAGAAUCGCUUUUAAAAGUGCCUUGACAUAAUCACGCCUCUUCCUUUUGUAGGUAAUGGGGGAGGUAUUUGGAGAGAGUUCCCCUCCCAGAGCUCCUGAAGUCGGUGCUGCCUCCCCGGAGGCCGGGCAGAACUCAGCUGGCAGGCGGCGAUCGGAACCGAUCAGCAUCUUUGCUGCAGCGAUGUGGACGGAAUACAAAGCAGCGGAUCAGAGGAGAAACACCGAAUUUUCUACAGCUUGAAGUUAGUCCUCAGAUGAGUGGUUUUGAAGCUCCACCGGAGAACAAGCUAAACUCUUCUCAAACCGUUUUCACCCACAGAUAAUGUGGAAAAAGUCGAAAUACGCUGAAACUUAAGACUGUUAAAAACAAAGUAAGAGCUUAUUAAAAAACGCCGAACAGAACUCAUGCUGGCUCUCUUGAAUUACAGAGAAAUAAUGAGAGGGUGAGUUAAAGAACAGAGUGGGAUGUCGAAUAAACCAGCUCUGAAAUUCUGCUUCAUUCUCUGCUGGAGUUUCAGCAAAAAAACAAACUUCCUCUGAAAAAUUAAAAAAAA